rfam:Alligator mississippiensis ScZkoYb_88, whole genome shotgun sequence.
AUUGCUUUUUGGUCUCUUGGCCUAGAUCAAGUGUAGUUCCUGUUUUUAUCAGCUGUAAUAUGUGAUAUGUUCUCCUUUGGAGACUAUGUACUGAGCACAUUUUUGGUCCUGGGAGGUGAAAUAGGAGCUUGCUUCAUCCACUCUAUGCAUUGGCCUGGUAUUGCAGUGUUUCUAGGAGUGGUGCACUCCUC